rnacentral:rRNA from 1 species
UGCGCAGGCGGACCUAUCAGUCAGUGGUGAAAUCUCUCGGCUUAACCGGGAAACUGCCAUUGAUACUGUAGGUCUUGAGUUUGGUUGAAGUGGCGGAAUGUAGCAUGUAGCGGUGAAAUGCAUAGAUAUGCUACAGAACACCGAUCGCGAAGGCAGCUCACUAAACCAAAACUGACGCUCAGGCACGAAAGCGUGGGUAGCGAACAGGAUUAGAUACCCUGGUAGUCC